AUUGAACGCUGGCGGAAGGCCUAACACAUGCAAGUCGAACGAGUGGCGGACGGGUGAGUAAUGUCUGGGAAAAUGCCUGAUGGAGGGGGAUAACUACUGGAAACGGUAGCUAAUACCGCAUACCAUCAGAUGUGCCCAGAUGGGAUUAGCUUGUUGGUGGGGUAACGGCUCACCAAGGAUCAGAUACCUAGCUGGUCUGAGAGGAUGAACAGCCAACCUGUAACUGAGAACCGGUCCAGACCCCUACGGGAGGCAGCAGUGGGGAAUAUUGCACAAUGGGCGCAAGCCGGAUGCAGCCAUGCCGCGGGUAUGAAGAAGGCUUUCGGGUUGUAAAGUACUUUCAGCGGGUAGGCGUUACCCGCAGAAGAAGCACCGGCUAACUCCGUGCCAGCAGCCGCGGUAAUUC
rnacentral:rRNA from 1 species